rnacentral:miRNA from 1 species
CCCAGCAGCAGCUGGGCCGGGCUGGGCUGGUCAGGGGAGGAUGUGCAAGGCGCCAGCACAUGUGCCAUCUGUCACCCU